AGAGUUGGUGGCUAGGGUUCCGGCGCCGGAAGGCGUGUCUGGUCCGAGAGCUGCCACCGGUCCGGGAGACAUCCGGAUCGGGCGCACGGCGGGAUAAAAGCCCGGGAGAC
rnacentral:sRNA from 2 species